rnacentral:rRNA from 1 species
AGAGUUUGAUCAUGGCUCAGAUUGAACGCUGGCGGCAGGCUUAACACAUGCAAGUCGAGCGGUAACAGGGGGAGCUUGCUUCCCGCUGACGAGCGGCGGACGGGUGAGUAAUGCUUAGGAAUCUGCCCAGUAGUGGGGGAUAGCCCGGGGAAACCCGGAUUAAUACCGCAUACGUCCUACGGGAGAAAGCAGGGGAUCUUCGGACCUUGCGCUAUUGGAUGAGCCUAAGUCGGAUUAGCUAGUUGGUGGGGUAAAGGCCUACCAAGGCGACGAUCCGUAGCUGGUCUGAGAGGAUGAUCAGCCACAUCGGGACUGAGACACGGCCCGAACUCCUACGGGAGGCAGCAGUGGGGAAUAUUGGACAAUGGGGGCAACCCUGAUCCAGCCAUGCCGCGUGUGUGAAGAAGGCUUUCGGGUUGUAAAGCACUUUCAGUAGGGAGGAAAACCUUAUGGCUAAUACCCAUGAGGCUUGACGUUACCUACAGAAGAAGCACCGGCUAACUCCGUGCCAGCAGCCGCGGUAAUACGGAGGGUGCAAGCGUUAAUCGGAAUUACUGGGCGUAAAGCGCGCGUAGGUGGUUUGGUAAGCGAGAUGUGAAAGCCCCGGGCUUAACCUGGGAACGGCAUUUCGAACUGUCAGACUAGAGUGUGGUAGAGGGUAGUGGAAUUUCCUGUGUAGCGGUGAAAUGCGUAGAUAUAGGAAGGAACACCAGUGGCGAAGGCGGCUACCUGGACCAACACUGACACUGAG